GGUUGUAACUUUAGAACUACAGAAAAAAGUAAUACAAUUUUAGUAUAGUACUUGGUCCAACUUUGAACAACAUUUAUAUUUAUAUAAUAAUGAUAAUGUAAAUGCUGUUUCUGGGUCACUACCUUUAAUCUAUAGAAAAGAAUAGAAAGUUGGGCUGUGGUUGCACGAAAGAAGGUGAAUGUUAACAGCCUUGAAAACACAAAAAUAAGAGGAGAGAAAAUAGAAGAGGCCAGAGAAUAGGAACUUGGCCAAAUCUUGCAUUAAAGGCGCAGAUGUGAGAAAAGAAGCAAGAAAAGAAGGGGCUUCCCUGGUGGCGCAGUGGUUAAGAAUCUGCCUGCCAAUGCAGGGGACACGGGUUCGAGCCCUGGUGUGGGAAGAUCCCACAUGCCGCGGAGCAGCUGGGCCCAUGAGCCACAAUUACUGAGCCUGCGCAUCUGGAGCCUGUGCCCCGCAACGGGAGGGGCCGCGAUAGUGAAAGGCCCAGGCACCGCGAUGAAAAGUGGCCCCCGCUUGCCACAACUAGAGAAAGCCCUCGCACAGAAACGAAGACCCAACACAGCCAUAAAUAAAUAAAUAAAUAAAUAAAAAUUAAAAAAAAAAAAGCAAACUAGUUAUCAUCUACACCAGCUUGUCUCCAUCCAUCAUCCACUAAUUAAAAAAAAAAAUUUUUUUUUAAUUUGCAAAAACAGACAGCAGGCCAGAUUUGGCCUAUGGUCACAAUUUGCCCACCCCUGUUCUAGAAGACUGCUCUUACAUCUGAA